rnacentral:rRNA from 1 species
GACGAACGCUGGCGGCGUGCUUAACACAUGCAAGUCGAACGGAAAGGCCCUGCUUUUGUGGGGUGCUCGAGUGGCGAACGGGUGAGUAACACGUGAGUAACCUGCCCUUGACUUUGGGAUAACUUAAGGAAACUGGGGCUCAUACCGGAUAGGAGCUCCUGCUGCAUGGUGGGGGGUGGAAAGUUUCGGCGGUUGGGGAUGGACUCGCGGCUUAUCAGCUUGUUGGUGGGGUAGUGGCUUACCAAGGCUUUGAGGGGUAGCCUGCAUGGUGAGGUGACCCGCUACCCUGGUGCUGAUAUACGGCCCAGACUCCGAGUGGGGGCAGCAGUGUGUAAUACUGCACAAUGGUCUGAAGCCUGAUGCAGCAACGCCGCGUGCGGGAAGACAGUAGACGGGUGGGAAACUGUGUGUGACUGUGACCACGCGUUAGUGACAGGAAUGGGCAAAAAAUCACCGGCUCACUACGUG